GCCGGGGUGGCCGAGUGGGGCAAGGCGCGAGUCUCAACGACUCUUAGGGCACUGACCCGACGCAGGUUCGAGUCCUGCCCCCGGCG
rfam:Caenorhabditis briggsae complete genome, chrIII